ACGAACGCUGGCGGCGUGCUUCACACAUGCAAGUCGAACGGAAAGGCCCCUUUGGGGGUACUCGAGUGGCGACCGGGUGAGUAACACGUGAGUAACCUGCCCUUGACUUCGGGAUAACUUCAGGAAACUGGGGCUAAUACCGGAUAGGAAUCCUUGCUGCAUGGUGGGGGUUGGAAAGCUUCGGCGGUUUUGGAUGGACUCGCGGCUUAUCAGCUUGUUGGUGGGGUAGUGGCUUACCAAGGCUUUGACGGGUAGCCGGCCUGAGAGGGCGACCGGCCACAUUGGGACUGAGAUACGGCCCAGACUCCUACGGGAGGCAGCAGUGGGGAAUAUUGCACAAUGGGCGGAAGCCUGAUGCAGCAACGCCGCGUGCGGGAUGACGGCCUUCGGGUUGUAAACCGCUUUCAGCAGGGGCGAAGCUUGUGGUGACGGUACCUGCAGAAGAAGCACCGGCUAACUACGUG
rnacentral:rRNA from 1 species